GACGAACGCUGGCGGCGUGCUUAACACAUGCAAGUCGAACGAGAAAGCCCUUCGGGGUAAGUACAGUGGCGAACGGGUGAGUAACACGUGGGCAACCUGCCCCAGAGAGCGGGACAACCCGGGGAAACCCGGGCUAAUACCGCAUGAUGCGUCUCCACUUAAGUGGAGCCGCCAAAUGGUAGCUUCGGCCUCCGCUCUGGGAUGGGCCCGCGCCGGAUUAACUAGUGGGUUGGGGUAACGGCCCACCAAGGCGACGAUCCGUAGCUGGUCUGAGAGGACGAUCAGCCACACUGGGACUGAGACACGGCCCAGACUCCUACGGGAGGCAGCAGUGGGGAAUCUUGCGCAAUGGGCGAAAGCCUGACGCAGCAACGCCGCGUGGGGGAAGAAGGCCUUCGGGUUGUAAACCUCUUUCAGUAGGGACGAAGCUUCCGGGGUUAAUAGCCUACGGGGUGACGGUACCUACAGAAGAAGCCCCGGCUAACUACGUGCCAGCAGCCGCCGUAA
rnacentral:rRNA from 1 species